AGAAUUAAAUAAAAAAGAAUGGUGAUAAAAACAAAGAAACUUUUCUCUUUGUUUUCUCUUAUUGCCGUAACUAAGCAAGAAAGAAAGGAAAGAACACCAAAGGCACUCGGUCACUUGGUGUUGGGAAUUAAGAUUGUGGACUCUGAUUACCAGCUCAGGGAUCGUCAGCACUUCAUCACACUAUCUACUAUUAUGGAAAUCUUGUGAUUUGGAUUUAGCUUAUGGCAUGUAUAGGAUAGAUUAUACUAGAAUUACAUCAUAACUAUUGUUUAUAAGCCAUGCGAAUAUGGCAUCCUUUGGAAGUCUACUUUUAUAAGUUAUAAGUUUGAUCUUUGUUUGUGUUUAGAAAUUUAAUUAAAUGAAUAAUCUUUAUUCACGAAAAAAAAAAUGUUCAAAA